rnacentral:rRNA from 1 species
UACGUAGGGGGGCUAGCGUUGUCCGGAUUUAUUGGGCGUAAAGAGCGUGUAGGCGGCCAGGUAGGUCUGCUGUGAAAACUCGAGGCUCAACCUCGAGAUGUCGGCGGAAACCAUCUGGCUAGAGUCCGGAAGAGGAAAGUGGAAUUCCUGGUGUAGCGGUGAAAUGCGUAGAUAUCACUUGGAACGCCAAAGGUGAAAACAGUCUGCUGGGGAUCUGCUGACGCUGAGACACGAAAGCCAGGGGAGCGAACGGG